rnacentral:sRNA from 2 species
CAACCCACAUAUCGCACAUGACUAGAAAGACCUUCAGGUUGAAGCGUCCAUAAUAGUUACAGUAAACUCAACAACAAUAGUUGGUAUACAUGAUGUGGCGCGUUCGCCUUGCGUCUUUGAUUGCAUAAAUAAGGACGGGCUUAACUACGACAUAACAAUUAGAUGAGCAAAUGUGAUUCUCAGAACGUACCCCAGAGAUAACUACUUCAUACUUCUCCACUCCAUCACUUUCUAUAUCAGAUUGGCCAUGCACCUUCGGUUGGAACUUUGGGGAGAGGCGGGGCAGUGGAGGCGCAAAGAGAGGAAGGACUCGCAGGUCCCGGGAAGAAGCUGAGAAAUCCGAGAGCACAGCCAUUGCAAGGCCAGAUGUCAGCCAAAUCGGGGUAACCAAAACAAGAAGCUGCCAGGAAUUAAAAAAAAAAAAAAAAAAACACAAGCAGCAAAACGGACGAGUUUGCACUUUAAAGGACCUAACCAAACAGAUUCAGGGGUACAGGGGUAUUCCAAGUGCGCCAAGCAGCUGCAAUCAACCACAAACCUCAGACGAUGUGCUUCGAAAAUCCUAAGGACUCCCAUGAAGCGCGUGCUACAAGGCCUGGAUUCAACCAUAGGAUGUGAGAUUCGCCAACCCCACGCUCCAAGUCCUCUCAAGGACGACAAGCCAGGCCAUGUGGAUCAAGGCACCAGGGUUAGCAAGAAGAGCAGGGCUGCACCGUCGUAAUGGCAGCGAGCCAACACAUUCUAAUCCUCCCCAUGUGCGUUGGACUCGCAUGGGAAUUCGCUUUGGGAUCUCACACUACAGUCAAAGCAUGCAUUAUUGAACGGGGGAUCAGAAGCUGUUGUUCGAAAUGAGCAGCUGGCAUAAGGUGAACUUUGUUUAAUGAAGUCGAUUCCUCAAUUGAGGCAUCCCAC